ACAUCACCUGGGUGCUUGGCUCAGUGAUAUGUCACAAUGCCCAGUGUAGGCAGGGACAGGCAGGAGAGUCAUAUUACCUGGGUGCUUGGCCCAGUGGUAUGUCACAAUCCCUUAUGUAGGGAGGGCACAGGUAGCAAAAGACUGUCACAUCAUCUAGUUGCUGGACUAGAGCUAUUGGUCUCUCGGUCGUUCAGGGAGAGGUUUAGGAUCUCCUUAGACAUCCAUGUAACAGAGCCCCAACUCAUCCGUGCUCAGAAGCAAAGGCCAGUGGAGACCAAAUAAGGCUUGAAAGCAUACUUUUGAUCAUCGUCCCUGUCGUCACAAUGGGGCGCCUGACACCAUGGAGACCCUGGAAACCCUCUGAACUCAGGCCCUGCAGGGGUCAGGUGAACAUGUAGGAAGUCCAGGAGAAAAGUCAUCUGCCGUCUCCAGAAUGAACAGCAUUCCAGGAAGAACCCCCCCACACUCCAGGAAGAAGUCAUGAGCCCAGUGGGGAGGCAGGUCCAGCCUGCAACAACUUAGACAUAUGCGGUGCUCCAUAGCUCAUGCUUGUGUCCUGCAGGCAGGAGCCCAUGCCAGCAUCCGCAGUCUUUGUUCUGGGUGUGGAAUUAGUGCUUCAGCUGGUUCCCCAGGCGUCCCCAGAGGGGGAAAGGGUGGAAAAGGUAAGAAUCUUCAGCACAGCAGAUCGCCUUGCCCUGGCAGCGACCAGCCCUGCCCCUGAGGGGCACCAGCAGCCCCCAACUAGAGGCAGUCAUGUCAGGCCUCCUCCCUACAGCAUCUCUCCUGCCUUUUUUUUUCUUUUUUUCACCGCCCUAACCCCCUACUUUUGGUCAUCCUCCUUGUCACAAUGGGGCACCUGCACUGUAGAGACUCUAGAAACACGCAGAUCUGGGGUCCUGCAGCAUCCAGGCUAACAUGCCGGGAAUCAGAGAGAAAAGUCCUCUGAAGCCUCCAGAAGGAAUGGAACAGGACCCGUCACUGCAGGAAGAAGUGGGGCACCCAGUGGCAGAUGGAGGCCCCACGCACUGCAGAGGUAAACGUGUAAGGCGCUCCCUGGCCCGCGCCUGUUUCCUGGAUGCUGGAGUCCGUGACCAGGCCCGGGGUGGCCCUUCCACACACAGAAUAAGCUGUUGGGCUGGCUGCCUCACCCAGCACCCGGGCCGCGCCAGAGAGUAUCUCAGAUGCUGCUUUCCUGCCACUUCAGCGACCCCAGUAACACUUCUCCCACAGGGACUCCGCCGUGCCCAGCUCUCCAGCCUGGGGAUUCUCAUCACCCAGUGAUUCCAAAAGAAACGAUCUACAAUGUUAUGAACAAAUGCCAGAAAAAAACAAACAAAAUAUCUGAGGGCAGUCCAUUGGUCACUUCCAUUUUUCAAAGGUGACAAUUGUCCCUCCUUGAAAUCUUGAGAGUGCAUGAACAGGCUAUUCUAAUAGAUGUGCAAUUUGCACUAAAACUGAUUGAAGAGCAAAUUCUGAUUCCAAGGUACUUUGUAUUCUCAAAUUGCCUCUGCUGCCCCUGGCCCCCUCAAAAUGGAAGAGUGAGGACUACUUGACAUCUUAGCACUGUGCGGACAUAGAGCCUUACAUGGAGGUGUGUCAAAAACGACAUUCCAUAAAGGGCUGUCACUUCCAAUUUUCAAGCAAGGUGGGAAACUAACCAUGAAGUAGGAAACACUGUCAGCCAAAAUGCACCAUUAGUAAUAUAAAAAUGAAUGGUAUAAACUAUUCUAUAUAUGUGAGGCCAUCAUGGAAAUUUGGACAUCAAAAAACAUUGCCAAAUUCAGGAAGAGGAACCUGUAAGGUCAUGGCUGUUAGGAAGCUUAACUUCUGUGUUCUAGAACCUAUCAAAGUUAUUUCUCCAUGUCAAUCUGUCCAAACAAACCUUGAGUUGUUUAUUUCUAUAGAAUUCCUGUAGAAUCCUAAUGGGCAUGAUCUUCUGGCCCCAUCUUCGCAGCUCUGGUGCCAGUGGAAUUGCACUUGUUCGUGCUUCCCCCUAUUUUAUUAAGUGUGGAAAUAUUUAGAGACACGGUGGGUUGGAAAGGUACUGAAUUAAUGGCUGGGGCCUCCUGGGUGGGUGAGUCAGGUUUCCCACAGCCUAAGCCUUUUUACAGUAAAUAAGUUAUAGGUAAAGUUAGAAAAAAAUAAAAAGAAAAUGGAAA